rnacentral:tRNA from 1 species
GGAGAGAUGGCUCAGCGCUUAAGAGCACUGGCUCUUAAACCAGAGGACCUGAGUUCAAUUUUUAGUAACUACA